ACCAUCUGUCGGUGCGCACGCUGGGGAUCCACUCUGCCAGGCUGUGGGGGACCCUCAUCGGCUGGAGGCGGGGCGGGGGCCCUCUGGUCUUUUGUCACACGUUCAUUCAGCACGUUGCAUGAGGCCCUGCUAGGGACACCAGCGACGAGAAGGAGGAAGCAGAGCCACCCGAGGUCACUGCCCCAAGAAGGCGUGUUCUGGUGUGUAGGGGGGAAGCAAGGAAUAAAUAAGAGAAUAUGAUGGCCAUGUUCUUGCUGUGUCCUCACACGGUCUGCAUGUUGUCUGUGUCCUCUUCUUACAAGGACACCACUGUGUGGGAUCAGUGCCCACCCACACGACCUCAUUCUACCUUCAUUAUUUCUUUAGAAGUCUCCAUCUCCAAACAGUCACCUCCUGAGAUGGGGAAGCUGAGGCCCGGUGGAUGGGAGCAGCCUGUCUUCAGUUGCUAGUCAGAUACAGUAAAGGAUGAUCAGCCUCCUCAAGGGCGAGCAUGAAGAACUGCACAGGAAGGACCUUCAACCCUGGUUGGACUUGUUCUCACACAGCAUUGUUAUGUGUGGUUCUUCAUGUUCAAAAAUAUAGAUGACCUGUGACUGUGUCUUCACUGUGAAAAGAAACCAAUCACACUGAAUUAUAACUGAAUUAUAACCCAGUGUACAAAAUAAAUGUGUCCAUAUCAAUAUAAAAAUUAUCAAAAUAAGUAAAUAAAAUGGAGAGAAGAGAGAUGCAUCUUUCUUGUGGAAGACUUCUAAAUAAAAUAGGUAGAUCCUGGGAAUUCUGGGAGGUGGAGCUGAAUUCACCACCCACCAUCCUCCAACCUUUAAGGGCUGUCUGGAUUUCAUGACUUGCCCCCAAAGAAAAGAACACAGAAAUGGAAAACUGGUAAACGACAGCAGAGGAACCUGGCUAGUACUACCUGAACCGACACCCAAGGUUCAACUCAUCAGCAAUGCCACGUGGUGCCAUGUGCCUGCCCCCUGAUGAGAUGUGACCAAAAGGGACACCCGCCUGGGCGGUAUUCUUGUCAAAAGCCUAUAAUCUCAAUUUAGUGAGGAGGGAAUCCUCAGACAAGCCCGAAAUAAGGGGGAUUCUACCAAACACCUGGCCAGUGCUGAUCAAGACUGUCAAGGUCACAGGAAACAAGAAAUGACUGGGAAACUGUCACAGAGCAGAGGAGGCUAGAGAGACAUGGGCACUAAAUGCAAUGUGGGAUUCUGGACUGAAUCCUGGAACAGAGAAGGGACAUUAAUGGUGAAGCUGAAAGAAGUCUGGGGCUUAGUUGAUAGAAAUAUAUCAACAAUGGGCUUUUAAUUUUGUCAAAUGUAACCCAUGAAUGAAAAGUGCUGCCCACGGAAAGAACAGGAUGAGGGACAUAUAGGAACUCUCUGUAUUAUCUUUGAUACUUUUUGUAAAUCUAUACUUAUUCCAGAAACUUUAAAAAUUAUUUUGAA